rnacentral:rRNA from 1 species
AUUGAACGCUGGCGGCAGGCCUAACACAUGCAAGUCGAGCGGCGCUUCGGACGGGUGAGUAAUGCCUAGGAAUCAACCCGUUGGUGGCGUACAAAGUCAAGAAACGUGCGAUAAUACCACAUACUAUCAGAUCAGCUUAGGUCGGAUUGGCUAGUUGGUGUGGUAAUGGCUUACCAAGGUGACGAUCCGUAACUGGGCUGAGAGGAUGAUCAGUCAAACUGGAACUGAGACACGGUCCAGACUCCUACGGGAGGCAGCAGUGGGGAAUAUUGGGCAAUGGGCGAAAGCCUGAUCCAGCCAUGCCGCGUGUGUGAAGAAGGUCGUCGGAUUGUAAAGCUCUGUAAGUUGGGAGGCGUUACCAAAAGAGUAAGCACCGGCUAACUACGUGCCAGCCGCCGCGGUAAUAC